rnacentral:rRNA from 1 species
UCGAGAAUUUUUCACAAUGGGGGAAACCCUGAUGGAGCGACGCCGCGUGGAGGAUGAAGGCCUUUGGGUUGUAAACUCCUGUCAUGUGGGAACAAGAAAGUGAUAGUACCACAAGAGGAAGGGACGGCAAACUCUGUGCCAGCAGCCGCGGUAAUACAGAGGUCCCAAGCGUUGUUCGGAUUUAUUGGGCGUAAAGGGUGCGUAGGCGGUGGUGUAAGUCUAGUGUGAAAUCUCGGAGCUUAACUUCGAAACUGCACUGGAUACUGCACUGCUAGAGGAUUGUAGAGGAGACUGGAAUUCACGGUGUAGCAGUGAAAUGCGUAGAUAUCGUGAGGAAGGCCAGUGGCGAAGGCGAGUCUCUGGGCAAUUCCUGACGCUGAGGCACGAAGGCCAGGGGAGCAAACGG